rnacentral:lncRNA from 1 species
AUAUAGUUAGAGAUACAUUUGAUUGAUUUAUAAAUAAAAGAUGGAAAUGGAUAUGUAAAUCAAAAUCAAUGCUGGUGAUGGCGUGUUUCCCAAGAAAGAGAUGAAUACAUGCAAAAGAGAAACUUACAUGGGACAAAGGGAUGGUACCAUACUACCAUUGGAUUUGGAGAUCUCCUGUUUUCAUGCUUUUUCCAGUGAUAAUAUGGAGAAAAUUGCAAUUGAUAGG